rnacentral:rRNA from 1 species
UACGUAGGGGGGCAAGCGUUGUCCGGAAUUAUUGGGCGUAAAGAGCGUGUAGGCGGCUAGGUAAGUCCGCUGUGAAAACUCGAGGCUCAACUUCGAGCUGUCGGCGGAAACUAUCUGGCUAGAGUCCGGAAGAGGAGAGUGGAAUUCCUGGUGUAGCGGUGAAAUGCGCAGAUAUCAGGAAGAACACCCGUGGCGAAGGCGGCUCUCUGGGACGGUACUGACGCUGAGACGCGAAAAGCGUGGGGGAGCGAACAGG